rnacentral:tRNA from 1 species
GGCUCGGUGGCCAAGUGGCUAAGGCAGAGCUCUGCAAAAGCUCCAUCGCCGGUUCGAUUCCGGCCCGGGCCUCAA